GACGAACGCUGGCGGCGUGCCUAAUACAUGCAAGUCGAACGAGAGCAACCGGUGCUUGCACUGGUCAAUCUAGUGGCGAACGGGUGAGUAACACGUGGGUAACCUGCCCAUCAGAGGGGGAUAACAUCCGGAAACGGAUGCUAAAACCGCAUAGGUCUUCGAACCGCAUGGUUUGAAGAGGAAAAGAGGCGCAAGCUUCUGCUGAUGGAUGGACCCGCGGUGCAUUAGCUAGUUGGUGAGGUAACGGCUCACCAAGGCCGUGAUGCAUAGCCGACCUGAGGGGGUGAUCGGCCACAUUGGGACUGAGACACGGCCCAAACUCCUACGGGAGGCAGCAGUAGGGAAUCUUCCGCAAUGGACGCAAGUCUGACGGAGCAACGCCGCGUGAGUGAAGAAGGUGUUCGGAUCGUAAAACUCUGUUGUUAGAGAAGAACAAGUGCUAGAGUAACUGUUAGCGCCUUGACGGUAGCUAACCAGAAAGCCACGGCUAACUACGUG
rnacentral:rRNA from 1 species